CCGGGUCAGGCGAGCGCUCCCCAUUGGGCGGCUGCCGAGGGUUUAAACGAAAACCGCCGAUAAAGGCGGCUGGGACUGCUGAGCGGAUGGUGGAGCGCUGGGUCUUAUCCCCCGGUUGUGCAGGCAAUGAAUUCUUUCCAGCAAAAGAUCUUAAACUUAAUCAAAUAUUUCAGAAGACAAUGGCCCUUAUUUUCAAACUCGGAAAGGACUACUAUAUGUGGAGCAGAUUGCAUGCUGACAGCAUUACAACUGUCCAUGGCUGAAGUCAAUAAACAGCACCAUGGAGAUUUCUCAGUAUCAUUCAGUGAUGUGAUGGAGACUUGGAAAUAUUUGUUACACGACAAACUAGGAUUAUCAUAUGAAAGCAUGGAAGAACCUGAAAAUUAUGCUGACUUUAAAAAGGCCUAUCAUACCUUCUUAGCAAGCAGCAAUAUGUUAGAUAUAAUAGACAUAUAUCAAAAGUGCUGUGCUCUUGCACUUGUAUCUGAAGAUGAAAGCAUAGCCCCUGUUCAACUGCUAGAAUUUCUUUCUGGUGCAAUGAACGUAUCAGAAAAUAAUGGUGCUGUUCUUCCUUCUACACCAGUCAACAGACAGGAUCAGUGCAAUGUGAAGGUGACCCUCUUGGCAAAGAAGUGUUUUUAUUCAUAUUUAAGCCUGUUGGUGAAUUCUAAGGAUGAUCUGGCAUUGGCUCGUAUUCUAAAUGUUCCUGACAGAGGACUUGGUAGAGAAGCCUUCACUAAAUUAAAACAUGCCUCACAGGAGAGAAAAAUGUCAAUUUUCCUGAUGGCAACAUCUUUUAUCCGAACAGUAGAACAUGGAGGAAAAGGCUGUGGAGCUUCAUUAUUUGGUCCACUAAGAGUCCAUGUCAAGGGACUUACUAACUUUGUUAAUCUUAUUGACAAGCUGGGAGAAAUUGUUGGUGAAAUCUCAGAUCCAAGAGUCGCAGGGGGGCAAAUUCUGUCAACAGUGAAGAUGCAUUUGAUGAAAGGCCGAAGCAAUGGGGAUUCUUUCUAUCAGGCAGUAGAGGAAGUUGUACAAGAUUUGGAUUUGAAGAUUAAAAAUAUUAUCGAUUCACAACAUGAAGUCUUGACUGCUAGCACCACUGGAGUCAGUCCAGCACGGCCAAAAUUGCAUUCCAUAAACCAUGGCACUGUGUAUUGUGGAAGAGAUACUAUAAAAGUCUUACUGGUUCUUCUGGAUGAAGAAGCAGUCAGUGCUCCUACCCAGAACAAAGCAGAAUUAUUAUAUGAUGAUGUAAACUUAAAUAUGUUUGGAAUCACCUCUGUUUUGACACUUUUCAGAUCUCCAGCACAGUCCAAAGAAUCUUCUCCAAAACCUCUUAGACAGCGUAUUCAGAAAUCUAUGGAUGAAAAAAUAAUUAAGAUGAAGCAAUCUUCAAUCAAAUCUCAGUUUGCAUGUACAUACAAAAAUGAAUUGAGUAAAAUAAAGGGUCAGCAUUUCCUCAGCGGUAGCCAAAUGCCAGCCUGCAUAACUCCUGCACCUAAGCAAUGUUUACAAGGUAAAUAUUUCACAGAAGGUAUGAAUUCAUGUCUUGACAUACCAGUGCUUGGAACUAUUUCUGAAAAUGUUCAUCAGAAUAGAAAUUAUAGAGAAAUGGGGAAAUUGAGUUGUCAGCCAAGAAACAAGAACUCCAAGAAUGAACAGAUGGAUUUGAAUAAUGACAGAGUUAUCUGUGAGGAGGAAAGUGAAACAUCUUUGCCAAAAAAUGCUAAGAAACCUAAGACUUCAAACAACCCUCAGAAGGAAUUGGACGGCAAAAAUGAUGGAAAAAGAAAAAAAAACAGAACUGCAAGCAAGAAUAAAUUGAUUGUCGGUCAGGCAAAAUUAACUCAAUUUUUUAAACUGUAAUUUUUUAUUUUGACCAUGCAUGGUCUGUUGACCACUUCAGAAGUUGUAAAAUUUUGUGAGAAAAAGCUGAAAUUCAUGAAUUGCUUUCCUUCAUACUCAAAUAAAUGAAAAUAGCUUUUGUGUGUUGUUAGACAAAUACUUACAAAGUCUGAUUAUGCAGAAAUAUUUUAUUUUUGAUAAUAAUACAUUGAUUAUUACAACUAUGUUCUGUUUUGGUAAUGAAUAAUGUUUCACUCAGCAUUGCGAUGUGAAAAUAAUUUUAGAUGCAUAUGUAUAGCAAUACUAAGACACAAUAGCUUCCAAUCAUGUUAAACUCAUAAUAAAAUGUUUAAUCUUUCUCAGAGAAGGUGCUGUAAGUCAGUAGUUUUCAGACUUGCCAACAAGGUCGAUAGACUCUUCCCAGCAUACAUCUGAGCACUACAGGAAUAUAAAGUAAACAUUUAAAAUAUCAAAGAACUGGAAUUCUGUAUGGCCUGCAAAUGCCUACACCCCCACCCCCCCAGUCUAUUUACAAUAGAGGUAAGUUGGAAUUGCAGGAUUUAAGUAGCACUAACAAAUCCUGGAUAUUACAUGGAGUUUCUAACUGAGCUUUUAACAGACGGUUUCAGAAACACUGCAGUGUAACUUACCAGAAUUAAUCUAAAAAAUAUAUAUAUAUAUAUAUAUAUACUUACUGUCAAAAUCUCUCCUUCCUAUAGGGAAUUUAGCUGAAUUCUCUUCAUCCGCAGUCUCUCGUUUCUGUAUUGAUUCAAUAUUAUGAAUUUCAGUGUCAGCUGGAAAAGCAAUGGCUCCCUUCAGUGCAAAAUAAGAGAUUUUGAAUCUGAGAUUAGGAAACCUUGAGAAAAAAGAGAGAGUAUUAACAUAUACGAUGAGAUGCACAUUCUUACUUACUUAAUGCUUUCAUAUAAGGUAAGCGGUUUUCAAGCUCUAAGCUUUUCAGGUGUAAAUUAACAUGUUCUCCAUCUGUGCCCACUUUAUAUAUUUUACAGACUGAAUGGAAACUACUUCAAUGAGUGAUGAGUUCAGUCUUUUAAAUGAGUCACAUUAAGGAGUAACCUUUUGUAUAUGCCUUCUAAUCCCAUCUAUUGUUUAGAACUACUUAAACAUUUCUUUAGCAUGGAUAAUUUGUUUAUUUCGAUCUUUUUAGAACAGCAAGAUAGCUCCUUUGAAGGAUCAUAAUAGCAAAGCUCAAAUAAAACAGUGAUGUCCGUUUGUGGUGCUUAAUAAGCUUUGCAUUCAUUUAAGGCAAUUGGAGAAAAGGAACUAAUUUACAUAAGUAAGAAGGACUUUUGUGAAGGUGUGAUUUAUCAUAGUUGAACAAAAGUGAUUUACUAAAGAGUUGAAAAACUUGGAAUUUAACAAUAGCUUAGACUGCUACUGUGUUUGAGUUGAAGUAACUAAUCUGUCCAUUCUCUUUACUCAGUCAAAGAGCUUGUGUUAGAAAUAUUUUUUAAUACUUAAGUGAUUUUCUGCAUUUUCUUUUUGAAAGUGAAUAUUUCCCAAGCAAAUACAAAAUAAUCAGAUUUGCUUGCUAGGAAAGUAGAAAGAAAAUGAAAUUUCAUUUUUAAAUUAAAAAAAAAAUCUUUGAAGUCUGUCUACUAUUCUGUGGGAAAGAAGGCAGGAGUUUGUGUAUAAUAUUUUUUACUUCAUCUGGAAAGCAAAUGCGGAUUUAGGUAAUCUCUUAAUGUCAAUGACAGAAACCAUCUAUUCAGUGACUGUGUACCAUCCCAUAAAUUCAUGCUUCUUUUAACCUUCAGGGUAGGGCAUAGAACCAAAUAUCAUCCUAGAUAAAGCAAACCAAUAGGAAAUUGACCAAGAAACUGAGAAGGUUAGGAUUAAGUCUCUAAGUAGGAGGCUUGUAAUGACGGGGGUACCCCAAGGAUCAAUACUGUGUGCAGUCCUGUUUAACAUCUUCAUUAAUGAUCUGGAUGAUGGGUAAACCACAUUCAGUAAACUUGUUGUCAGUACUAAACUGACUCACCAGAGGGCCGUGCGGCCACCCAGAGGGACCUGGGGAGGCGGGUUAACUUGAAUUUCAUGAAGGUCAACAAGAUGUAGAGUCCUGCACCUGAGUAAGAGCAACUCUAGGCACCAGUAAAUGCUGGGGGGCCACCCGGCUGGAGAGCAGCUUUGCAGAAAAGGUUGUGAGCAUCCUGGUGGAUACCUAGUUGAACAUUAGCAUACUAGCAAUGCGCCCUUACUGUUAAGAAGGCUAACACUGUUGGCUGCAUCUGACAAAGUAUUGCCAGCAGGUCAAAAGAGUUGAUCCUUCUACACUGCUCAGAAUUGGUAAGGCUGCAUCUGGAGUUCUGUGCCCAGUUCAACCCCCUCCCCAACAAGUGCCAGAGAGACAUGGACAUACUGGAGAAGGUCCAACAAAUUGCCACCAAGAUGAUGAGGGUACAGGGUACCGAUGCACCUCUCCUGUGAGGAGAGGCUGAGAAAGCUGAGAGUUUUACCUGGAGAAGAGAAGACUGAGGGGGAUUUCAUCGGUGUGUAUAAAUACCUGAAGUGAGAGUGCAAAGAUGACAGAGCCAGGACAAGAGGCAGUAGGCACAAACUGGAACACAGGAUGUUCCAUCUGAAUAUCAGGAAGCACUUAUUUACUGUCAAAACUGCCUGGACAAGGCCCAGGGUAGCCUACCCUAGUUAACUUUGCUUGAGCAAGGGGGGGUGGAUCCAGUGACCUCCAGAAGUUCUGUCCAACCUUAACCUUUCUGUGAUUGGCCUUAAGUAAUCAUAACUGUUCAUGCCUUAAAACCAAAGUCUGCAUGAAGCAUUUCCCCACUGUUGCAAGUGAAAGAAAUAAGGGAGUACAGAAUAGAAAGAACUAUGUGAACAGAUACAAAAAAAAAAAAAGAAUUAAGCAAUAUUGCCUUUUUAAAACAAAGGUAAUUAACAGAAUACCUAAGGUCUGAAGACUGGCUGGCUAGCAUCUAAUGCGGCACAUUUUUGCAAGAUUUGUGUAUGAGGAGGCAUCAGUGGUCUGGAAUUUGUCCCAUACUCAUGCAUGAAUAAUUCUCAUGUGAGAGCUUUUGAGCCUAAUAUUUAGUAUUAACUAUUGAGCAAUAAAUAAAACAGCUAUAAAGCUUAAAACCUUAAAAAAUAAUUUUGCUGAAUUUUAGAAUAGCACAAAAAUACAACGUCAGUCUUGAUUUGCUCUGGAAGGUACCACUUUUGGUUUAAAAGGUGGCUUUGUAUUUUAAUUUCAAUUUUGUAAUGUUUAUUUUAGACAAAAAAAAAUUAGACAAUUGUUUUGCAGUCCUUUUUGAGUGCAUUUAGAAAAUAUCUAUCAUUUUAACUGAGAGUUUAAAAACAUAAACCCUUCAUAAUGCACUUGUUCAUUUGUGUGAUCCUCUAGUAGUGGAGAAGAAAAAAAACAAAAAACAAUACAACAAAACACGUAUUUAUAUGUAUGUGACCAAUGAGGGCAAUUAAAACAUUUGGUUAGUUCUGAGUAACAACAUAGCGUAUUCUUAGCAUGAGAAGUAACUAAAUAUGUUAGAUUUAAAACCAGACAAACCCAUAAAACAAACCAAACCAAACCAAAAUGCAAUUAAAAAAAAUCAAAACCAAAUUGAAAUCUGUGACAUUUUUAAUUAAAGACUCAUUUUGCCAAUAGAGCUUAUGAUAUACCUAUGUACAAAGUUUCUGCUCGUGAUCAUACGAACCAUUAUUUUACUGGCUAUUUUCUGUUAUGUAUUGUAAGAAAGAACAUGAAGAUCUUAUUAAAGUCAAGAGUUGUAUCUGUUACUUUUCUAUAUUCACAAGAUAUAUGCAUUUCAGAGUUGUUGACAGUUUGUUGUUGACAAAUCCACACGAACUGUUGCUCAUCAGCAUGUUUUUGUAUAGGUGCUUUCAGAUUGUUGAUUACUUUAUUCAGUAUUUCUCUCAGCAGAAAUGAUUGCUUUCUGUGUUGUUUUUUCCACCACAAUUAAUCCCAGUAUCUUUGACCUUCUCAAAGUAAAUGUUAGCUAUAGUCUAUUUGAUCCUAUUAUCUUUACCUUAGCAAAAAGAUGUGGAUUUGUUUUUUUCUGUCAGUCUUUGUAAAGUGAUGUAAAAUACAGCCUCUCCUUGAUUAAAGUUUAAGCUGAUAUGUCACACAAAA